rnacentral:rRNA from 1 species
AGUCGAACGGCAGCGCGGGGCAACCUGGCGGCGAGUGGCGAACGGGUGAGUAAUAUAUCGGAACGUACCCUGGAGUGGGGGAUAACGUAGCGAAAGUUACGCUAAUACCGCAUACGAUCUAAGGAUGAAAGUGGGGGAUUCGCAAGAACCUCAUGCUCCUGGAGCGGCCGAUGUCUGAUUAGCUAGUUGGUGGGGUAAAGGCUCACCAAGGCUUCGAUCAGUAGCUGGUCUGAGAGGACGACCAGCCACACUGGAACUGAGACACGGUCCAGACUCCUACGGGAGGCAGCAGUGGGGAAUUUUGGACAAUGGGCGCAAGCCUGAUCCAGCAAUGCCGCGUGAGUGAAGAAGGCCUUCGGGUUGUAAAGCUCUUUUGUCAGGGAAGAAACGGUGAAGGCUAAUAUCCUUUGCUAAUGACGGUACCUGAAGAAUAAGCACCGGCUAACUACGUGCCAGCAGCCGCGGUAAUACGUAGGGUGCAAGCGUUAAUCGGAAUUACUGGGCGUAAAGCGUGCGCAGGCGGUUUUGUAAGUUUGUCGUGAAAGCCCCGGGCUCAACCUGGGAAUUGCGAUGAAGACUGCAAGGCUUGAAUCUGGCAGAGGGGGGUAGAAUUCCACGUGUAGCAGUGAAAUGCGUAGAGAUGUGGAGGAACACCGAUGGCGAAGGCAGCCCCCUGGGUCAAGAUUGACGCUCAUGCACGAAAGCGUGGGGAGCAAACAGGAUUAGAUACCCUGGUAGUCCACGCCCUAAACGAUGUCUACUAUUUGUCGGGUUUUAAUUAACUUGGUAACGCAGCUAACGCGUGAAGUAGACCGCCUGGGGAGUACGGUCGCAAGAUUAAAACUCAAAGGAAUUGAC